AUUGAACGCUGGCGGCAGGCCUAACACAUGCAAGUCGAGCGGAGCGGCGGACGGGUGAGUAAUGCCUAGGAAUCUGCCUGGUAGUGGGGGAUAAGGUCAGGAAACGGGCCUAAAGACAGCAACCCAACAGAUGAGCUGAGGGGGGUGUAGGAGGUUGGUGGGGUAAAGGCCUACCAAGGCGACGAUCCGGAACUGGUCUGAGAGGAGGAUCAGUCACACUGGAACUGAGACACGGGCCAGACUCCUACGGGAGGCAGCAGUGGGGAAUAUUGGACAAUGGGCGAAAGCCUGAUCCAGCCAUGCCGCGUGUGUGAAGAAGGUCUUCGGAUUGUAAAGCACUUUAAGUUGGGAGGCGUGACCAACAGAAUAAGCACCGGCUAACUUCGUGCCAGCAGCCGCGGUAAUAC
rnacentral:rRNA from 1 species